rnacentral:rRNA from 1 species
GAGCGAGGCCACCCGCAAGGGUGAGUCGAGCGGCGAACGGGUGAGUAACGCGUGGAUGACCUGCCCUUGAGUGGGGAAUAACCCGGGGAAACUCGGGCUAAUACCGCAUAAGACCGAGAGGUGAAAGCGGGGUCGCAAGAUCUCGUGCUCAUGGAGGGGUCCGCGUUCGAUUAGCUAGUUGGUAGGGUAAUGGCCUACCAAGGCGACGAUCGAUAGCCGGCCUGAGAGGGUGAUCGGCCACACUGGAACUGAGACACGGUCCAGACUCCUACGGGAGGCAGCAGUGGGGAAUUUUGCGCAAUGGGCUAACGCCUGACGCAGCAACGCCGCGUGGAGGAUGAAGGUCUUUGGAUUGUAAACUCCUGUCAGCAGGGAAAAAGCGACUAGACCUAAUACGUCUGGGAGUUGAUUGUACCUGCAGAGGAAGCCCCGGCUAACUCUGUGCCAGCAGCCGCGGUAAUACAGAGGGGGCAAGCGUUAUUCGGAAUUAUUGGGCGUAAAGGGCGCGUAGGCGGCUUUUCAAGUGACGGGUGAAAUCCCUCGGCUCAACCGAGGAACUGCCUGUCAGACUGGAAGGCUUGAGACCGGGAGAGGUGAGUGGAAUUCCCAGUGUAGCGGUGAAAUGCGUAGAUAUUGGGAGGAACACCCGUGGCGAA